UACGAAGGGGGCUAGCGUUGCUCGGAAUUACUGGGCGUAAAGGGCGCGUAGGCGGCACUGUUAGUCAGGCGUGAAAGUCCUGGGCUCAACCUGGGAACUGCGCUUGAUACGGCAGAGCUAGAGGAUGGAAGAGGCUCGCGGAAUUCCCAGUGUAGAGGUGAAAUUCGUAGAUAUUGGGAAGAACACCGGUGGCGAAGGCGGCGAGCUGGUCCAUUACUGACGCUGAGGCGCGACAGCGUGGGAAGCAAACAGG
rnacentral:rRNA from 1 species